rnacentral:rRNA from 1 species
UACGUAGGGGGCAAGCGUUGUCCGGAUUUAUUGGGCGUAAAGAGCGUGUAGGCGGCCAGACAGGUCCGUUGUGAAACUCGAGGCUCAACCUCGAGACGCCGAUGGAAACCGUCUGGCUAGAGUCCGGAAGAGGAGAGUGGAAUUCCUGGUGUAGCGGUGAAAUGCGCAGAUAUCAGGAAGAACACCCGUGGCUAAGGCGGCUCUCUAGUACGGUACUGACGCUGAGACGCGAAAGCGUGGGGAGCGAACAGG